UGGGUUGGCGGGCUAGUGGGAUGGCAGAUGAGGAAGAGGACCCUACCUUUGAGGAAGAAAAUGAAGAAAUUGGAGGAGGUGCAGAAGGUGGACAGGGUAAAAGAAAGAGACUUUUUUCUAAAGAAUUGCGAUGUAUGAUGUAUGGCUUUGGGGAUGACCAGAAUCCUUAUACUGAGUCAGUGGAUAUUCUUGAAGAUCUUGUCAUAGAGUUUAUCACUGAAAUGACUCACAAGGCAAUGUCCAUUGGAAGACAAGGUCGAGUACAAGUUGAAGAUAUCGUCUUCCUGAUUCGAAAGGACCCAAGGAAGUUUGCCAAGGUUAAAGACUUGCUUACUAUGAAUGAAGAAUUGAAACGAGCUAGAAAAGCAUUUGAUGAAGCAAACUAUGGAUCUUGACACUUUUUGUAGUUUCUGAAAAUUACCAUCUGGGGAUAUCAUAUAUAACUGUAUAUCUUCUAAAGUAAGGCUCUGAUAUCUAGCCAUGGAAAUGAAAGAUGGAGAAACACAAAGUUUUCAGCCUUUAUUUAUUUAUUUUUAUUUUUUGGAGACGGAUUUCACCAUGUUGGCCAGGCUGGUCUUGAACUCCUGACCUCAGGUGAUCCACCCGCCU